rnacentral:rRNA from 1 species
UUGUAAUAAAAAUUAUAAUUAAAUUUAUUGAUUUUAGGUGAAAUUUUGAAUUAAUAAUAAUAAUUAUAAAUAAUUUUUUUUGUCAUUAAAAAAUUUAAUAAAAAACUAGGAUUAGAUACCCUACUAUAAAAAGAGUAAAUAAAUAUAUUAAGUUAGUAAAUGUUGAAUCAUUAAAAUUAAACGAUAUGGCGGCUUUUUAUAUCUAGUUAGAGAUGUUUGUCGAUUAAUUUGAUAGUCCACGAUAAGAUCUACUUAAGUUUAAAUUUAUGUAUUGUUGUUUUAACUGGCUUGAAUUUAUUUGGGUUAGAGAAAUUUUAUAUAAUAAUAAUUCAAAUCAAAAUGUAGUAUAUUUAAGAUAUAAGAUGAAUAUCAAUAAAUUUAAUUUUAGAAUUAUUUAUUUUAAUAUAAAUAUGAAAGAGAAUUUAAAAGUAAAUUAAAGUAAUUUCUUUAAUUGAAGAUAGUAUUAAAAAGUGUACAAAUCGCCCGUCAAUUUCAUUAAAAUUGAAAUAAGUCGUAACAUAGUAAGAGUACCGGAAGGUGUUUUUAGAUUAAA